GGCUCAGGAUGAACGCUGGCGGCGUGCUUAACACAUGCAAGUCGAACGGUGAAGCAGAGCUUGCUCUGUGGAUCAGUGGCGAACGGGUGAGUAACACGUGAGCAACCUGCCCCUGACUCUGGGAUAAGCGCUGGAAACGGCGUCUAAUACUGGAUAUGUGACGUGACCGCAUGGUCUGCGUCUGGAAAGAAUUUCGGUUGGGGAUGGGCUCGCGGCCUAUCAGCUUGUUGGUGAGGUAAUGGCUCACCAAGGCGUCGACGGGUAGCCGGCCUGAGAGGGUGACCGGCCACACUGGGACUGAGACACGGCCCAGACUCCUACGGGAGGCAGCAGUGGGGAAUAUUGCACAAUGGGCGGAAGCCUGAUGCAGCAACGCCGCGUGAGGGAUGACGGCCUUCGGGUUGUAAACCUCUUUUAGCAGGGAAGAAGCGAAAGUGAC
rnacentral:rRNA from 1 species